rnacentral:rRNA from 1 species
AGUGAACGCUGGCGGUAGGCCUAACACAUGCAAGUCGAACGGCAGCACAGUAAGAGCUUGCUCUUACGGGUGGCGAGUGGCGGACGGGUGAGGAAUACAUCGGAAUCUACUUUUUCGUGGGGGAUAAUGUAGGGAAACUUACGCUAAUACCGCAUACGACCUACGGGUGAAAGCAGGGGAUCAUCGGACCUUGCGCGAUUGAAUGAGCCGAUGUCGGAUUAGCUAGUUGGCGGGGUAAAGGCCCACCAAGGCGACGAUCCGUAGCUGGUCUGAGAGGAUGAUCAGCCACACUGGAACUGAGACACGGUCCAGACUCCUACGGGAGGCGGCAGUGGGGAAUAUUGGACAAUGGGCGCAAGCCUGAUCCAGCCAUACCGCGUGGGUGAAGAAGGCCUUCGGGUUGUAAAGCCCUUUUGUUGGGAAAGAAAAGCAGCAGGUUAAUACCCCGCUGUUCUGACGGUACCAAAAGAAUAAGCACCGGCUAACUUCGUG